UACGUAGGGUGCGAGCGUUAAUCGGAAUUACUGGGCGUAAAGGGCUCGUAGGCGGCCAACUAAGUCAGACGUGAAAUCCCUCAGCUUAACUGGGGAACUGCGUCUGAUACUGGAUGGCUUGGAUUUGGGAGAGGGAUGCGGAAUUCCAGGUGUAGCGGUGAAAUGCGUAGAUAUCUGGAGGAACACCGGUGGCGAAGGCGGCAUCCUGGACCAAUAUUGACGCUGAGGAGCGAAAGCUAGGGGAGCAAACGGG
rnacentral:rRNA from 1 species